GGGUGGACAGGUGGUGGCAUGGUUGUCGUCAGCUCGUGUCGUGAGAUGUUGGUUAAGUCCCGCAACGAGCGCAACCCUCGACCUUAGUUGCCAGCAUUCAGUUGGGCACCCUAAGGUGACUGCCGGCUAAAAGUCGGAGGAAGGUGGGGAUGACGUCAAAUCAUCAUGCCCCUUAUGACCUGGGCUACACACGUGCUACAAUGGGCGGUACAAAGGGUCGCGAACCCGCGAGGGGGAGCCAAUCCCAAAAAGCCGCUCUCAGUUCGGAUUGCAGGCUGCAACUCGCCUGCAUGAAGCCGGAAUCGCUAGUAAUCGCGGAUCAGCAUGCCGCGGUGAAUACGUUCCCGGGCCUU
rnacentral:rRNA from 1 species